UUCUCCUCUUUCUCCUCCUUCUUCUCCUCCUCCUUCUUCUUCCUCUUAUGUUCUUUUAAAUGUCCACAGUUAUAGAUCAUGAGACAGUCGUGCAUGUCUAUCAUUUAAAGUUGUAUGUCUGUAGUUUUACGACAGUAAGUUCAGGACUUUGGACUUAAUUUGGGACGCGUUGGUCCACUGGUUGCUAAGCUACCGCUAACCCCUCCAGGAAGUGAGACUGUUUCCUUCCUCCUUUGUUUCCUCAGCAUCACUGCAGGAAGUGCGGUCAGGCCGUGUGCGGUAAGUGUUCGUCCAGACGCUCCACCAUCCCGCUCAUGGGCUUCGAGUUCGAGGUGCGAGUGUGCGACAGCUGCAGCGAGUCCAUCAGCGACGAGGAUCGAGCCCCAACGGUCACUUUCCACGACAGCAAGCACGGCAUCGUCUACAUGCACUACGAGCCGACCACCGGGAACCUGCUGACCUCAGGAACCGACAAGGUCCUCAAGCUGUGGGACAUGAGUCCUGUGGUGUCCUGAGUUCACCAAAGACCGGGACGGUGUCAGGGAGGCGGUCUGAGAGGGAGAGAGAGGGGCUCAUCCAUCGAUAUCCACGUCAUCUGGAUCUUAUUUACCAGCUGCUCAUCAGCGAGGACUCUACAGGACUCUGUGGGGCUCUACAGGACUCUGUGGGGCUCUACAGCACUCUGUGGGAAUCUGUGGGGCUCUACAGGACUCUGUGGGGCUCUACAGGACUCUGUGGGAAUCUACAGGACUCUGUAGGACUCUGUGGGGCUCUACAGGACUCUGUAGGACUCUACAGGACUUUGUAGGGCUCUGCGGGACUCUGCAGGACUCUGAAGCAGGACAGGUCUCUGUUGACACCAGGCCACAGACCGGUGGGUGUUUGAGUGACAGGUGGAUUCUCUUAAGAGUUUAAAGUUGAGGAGUUGACUCUUUAAUUUACUUAAUUUUCACGCAUUCCUGCCGGCUUCCUCCUGGAAACAGGAAGUGAAGCGUUUCCUCCUGGAAACAGGAAGUGAAGCGUUUCUUUUUGCUUUCCACUUGAUCACCUUCGUCCGGCUGCAGACCGGCACCCCCUUCAGGUGGAGACGGGGACUGCAGCAGUGCUUCACCUUCUCUGUUGUCUUCACCUCCUCAGGAAGACUUUCACCCCCCCCUCUAUAAAACCACUUAGAGACACGAGGUUCAUUAGGGUUUAAAAUGUAAACCUUCAGUUAAAUGCAGGUGUCAACACUAGAAGCUGUUGCAGGUCUGUCCUGUAGAUGGUGCUCAUGAGCUUAUUAAAGUCUGCAGCUCUUCAAAGAGACAGACGUGAUGUUUGUAUCUUGUACUUCUACACAGUCAGUGUGUUACUACAGUGAUGUUCAGAUGUGGACGUAUGUUGGACUCCUAACAGAAUCAGUUUAAGUGAACGCUA